GACGAACGCUGGCGGCGUGCUUAACACAUGCAAGUCGAACGGUAAGGCCCUUCGGGGUACGACGAGUGGCGAACGGGUGGAGUAACACGUGGGUGAUCUGCCCUGCACUUCGGGAUAAGCCUGGGAAACUGGGUCUAAUACCGGAUAGGACUCCUGGCUUCAUGGUUGGGGGUGUAAAGCUUUUGCGGUGUGGGAUGGGCCCGCGGCCUAUCAGCUUGUUGGUGGGGUAAUGGCCUACCAAGGCGACGACGGGUAGCCGGCCUGAGAGGGUGACCGGCCACACUGGGACUGAGAUACGGCCCAGACUCCUACGGGAGGCAGCAGUGGGGAAUAUUGCACAAUGGGCGCAAGCCUGAUGCAGCGACGCCGCGUGAGGGAUGACGGCCUUCGGGUUGUAAACCUCUUUCAAUAGGGACGAAGCGCAAGUGACGGUACCUAUAGAAGAAGGACCGGCCAACUACGUGCCAGCAG
rnacentral:rRNA from 1 species